rnacentral:rRNA from 1 species
UACAGAGGGGGGCAAGCGUUGUUCGGAAUUACUGGGCGUAAAGGGCGCGUAGGCGGCCUCUUAAGUCGAACGUGAAAUCCCCGGGCUCAACCCGGGAACUGCGUCCGAUACUGGGAGGCUUGAAUCCGGGAGAGGGAUGUGGAAUUCCAGGUGUAGCGGUGAAAUGCGUAGAUAUCUGGAGGAACACCGGUGGCGAAGGCGGCAUCCUGGACCGGUAUUGACGCUGAGGCGCGAAAGCUAGGGGAGCAAACGGGGAUUAAGAAACCC